rnacentral:tRNA from 1 species
GUGGGUGGGUUAGUGGGUAGAGCCUAGGACUCGUAAUCUCGAAGUCCCGAGUUCGAGUCUCGCCAGAGGCA